GAUGAACGCUGGCGGCGUGCUUAACCCAUGCGAGUCGAACGGAAAGGCCCAAGCUUGCUUGGGUACUCGAGUGGCGAACGGGUGAGUAACACGUGGGUGAUCUGCCCUGCACUUCGGGAUAAGCCUGGGAAACUGGGUCUAAUACCGGAUAGGACCACUUCUUGGAUGUUGUGGUGGAAAGUUUUUUCGGUGUGGGAUGAGCUCGCGGCCUAUCAGCUUGUUGGUGGGGUAAUGGCCUACCAAGGCGUCGACGGGUAGCCGGCCUGAGAGGGUGUACGGCCACAUUGGGACUGAGAUACGGCCCAGACUCCUACGGGAGGCAGCAGUGGGGAAUAUUGCACAAUGGGCGCAAGCCUGAUGCAGCGACGCCGCGUGGGGGAUGACGGCCUUCGGGUUGUAAACUCCUUUCGCUAGGGACGAAGCGUUUUGUGACGGUACCUGGAGAAGAAGCACCGGCUAACUACGUG
rnacentral:rRNA from 1 species